UACACUGAGACCACUGUGAUGUUAAAGC
rnacentral:piRNA from 1 species